CUGCCUCCCGCUCUUUCAUCUUCACGGCAGAAACAGUGAAAUAAUCCGUUCCCAUCUCUACAAAGGCCCCACCACACCCCAGUUGCCUGUGUCUCAAGAGAAACGUGGUGUGGGGACCAUUUGGAGCCUCUUUAAAAACAACGUCACCACAUCCUGAGACCGCCUGGGAAUUGCCGUCCAGCAAGAGAGAAGCCGGUAAUCAGCACAUUCUCCUCACUGGCUCUGACAUCUGACCAGGACACUUGCAGAAAGCCCCGCUGGCCUUUCCAAGACAUUCUUCUUAAGAUGUUUUGUGGAAAUGGAGUUAUGCACUAUGCAGCCUUUUGUGUCCAAUGAGCACAUGAAAAGAUGCUCACCAUCAUAAGCUGUCAAGGAAAUGCAAAUCAAAACCACAAGGAGAUGCCACCUCACACCCACCAGGAUGGGUGUCAUCCAGGAAUGGAAAGUCACCAGCAUUGGUGAGGGUGUGGGGGAACUGGAGCCUGCGUUCACAGCUGGUGAGGGACAAAUGGUGCCAUUGCUGUGGACACCCACCGCUUCCUAACAAUCACUCAAGACUCAGCUGCUGGCUGGGCUUGCUCGGGCUGAAGGAAAAGGAGCCAGUGGGGGUCCCAUGCCUGUUGGAGCCCCAGACCUCCCGCGUAGCAGCCGUGUGACCUUCAGGAAUUCACUCGACCUCUAAUGUAAACGCCACAAGUGCUAAGUAGUGUCGGUCUACUCAACACCAGCUCCUGAGCCUGAGGCUGGCGCAGAGGGGCCUUUCAAAAGGUGCUGUUGGAACGAUGGACAGACUGUUGACUCCACAUGAGCUAGCACAGUGCCCUCCUUGAAGGCCCACGAAGUUUCAGGAAGAGCCGAUCCCACAACCCAGCGGGCUGUAGAGCACCUCCAUGCCUCCGCAGAGCCGACUCCUCUGGUACCGCACGGCUGUGACAGAUCAUUUCUUCAUCCGUCUCCUCCCUCUGCCAAGUCAUCAGAAAAUGCUGAGCACCUAUGGAAAAUCCUCAGCACACUCCGCCUCUUCGGUCUGGUUUUCAUUUUAUGUUGUGCUGCUUUUUUGGUACAAUAAACAAGGUGAAAGCAAGCUGGCCUAAUGGGAAGUUUGACAUGAUUUCCACUCUUCUACCGAAAAGUGACGUUGCAGCUCCUGGGCCGAGGAGGGACGUUGUGUGACCGGUUCAGAGGCAGGAGUUCACGCCGCUGCAGUGACCCUCUGCAAAAGGAAGCAACUGGACAUUUCCUCUACACAUUGUCCUUUUGAAAAGUUCCAAAAUCCACACCACCAGGCUCAAGCCUGCCUCCUUCAGCAAGCCUCCCCAGGACCCUCCUCACAC